GGUUAAGCGACUAAGCGUACACGGUGGAUGCCCUGGCAGUCAGAGGCGAUGAAGGACGUGCUAAUCUGCGAUAAGCGUCGGUAAGGUGAUAUGAACCGUUAUAACCGGCGAUUUCCGAAUGGGGAAACCCAGUGUGUUUCGACACACUAUCAUUAACUGAAUCCAUAGGUUAAUGAGGCGAACCGGGGGAACUGAAACAUCUAAGUACCCCGAGGAAAAGAAAUCAACCGAGAUUCCCCCAGUAGCGGCGAGCGAACGGGGAGCAGCCCAGAGCCUGAAUCAGUGUGUGUGUUAGUGGAAGCGUCUGGAAAGGCGCGCGAUACAGGGUGACAGCCCCGUACACAAAAAUGCACAUGCUGUGAGCUCGAUGAGUAGGGCGGGACACGUGGUAUCCUGUCUGAAUAUGGGGGGACCAUCCUCCAAGGCUAAAUACUCCUGACUGACCGAUAGUGAACCAGUACCGUGAGGGAAAGGCGAAAAGAACCCCGGCGAGGGGAGUGAAAAAGAACCUGAAACCGUGUACGUACAAGCAGUGGGAGCACGCUUAGGCGUGUGACUGCGUACCUUUUGUAUAAUGGGUCAGCGACUUAUAUUCUGUAGCAAGGUUAACCGAAUAGGGGAGCCGAAGGGAAACCGAGUCUUAACUGGGCGUUAAGUUGCAGGGUAUAGACCCGAAACCCGGUGAUCUAGCCAUGGGCAGGUUGAAGGUUGGGUAACACUAACUGGAGGACCGAACCGACUAAUGUUGAAAAAUUAGCGGAUGACUUGUGGCUGGGGGUGAAAGGCCAAUCAAACCGGGAGAUAGCUGGUUCUCCCCGAAAGCU
rnacentral:rRNA from 1 species